UCAGCUGUGUUACUAGGCAACGUGGCUUAUGGUAAAAAUGACCCAUUGGUAAAUUGCUUGGGUCUAAGAGGGACUAAAAAUACCUGGAGAGUGGCUGUAACUUUGGACUUCUCCUAGUGUGGUGACUCCUGUAAUCGAGCCUGUACCCCGUGGGGAUCCUAGAAACCUCGCUCAUGGGUGGUCAUACAAGGCUCCUGCAGAGAAGAGAUGCUCAUUCAUUUCUAACCUCAUCACCACCAACAUAGUAUAAUGCUUAUGAAAAGGUAAACAAACUGGGACUUGGCACAUCCAUACAAUGAAUACUAAGUACUCAGUAAUAAAAAGAAAUGAACUACUGAUACGUUGGACAACUUGGAUGGUUCUCUAAGGCAUUGUGCUGAGUGCAAAAGUCAACCUCAAAAAGAUACAUACAGUAUGAUUCCAUUUAUGUAACAUUCUCAAAUGACACAGUUAUAGAAAGAUAGAACAAAUUAGCUGUUGCCAGUAACCAGGGAAGGGGGGGGGGGGGAACUUUGAGAUGCAUGAGGGAGUUUCUUGGCAGUAAUGGACCAGUACUGAAUCUUGAUUGCAGUGGUCAUUAAAUGAAUCUAGACAUGAAACGUUAUCUAUUGCACAAAACUAUACACACACACGUACACCUGAAUGAGUGCAUUAAAAAAACAUGAAAACUGGGGCGCCUGGGUGGCUCAGUUGGUUAAGCAUCCGA